AACUCCUGGUGUGCAGAGUGGCCCGCCUGAGACCAUAGAGAGCGGCUUCCGGCGGCGCCCAGGAGACACCCGCCCAGGGUGAUAGAGCGCAGCCUCCGGGGCGGAUAGAGCGGUCCGCCACAGUGAGACUAUUGUUCUCAGUCCCAUGACAACUUAAUUUACGUAAGAGCCUUCUGUUACCUCAAGGGGAAUAAGGCAACGCUUCAAAGGAAAACUUUAGAAAUGGUAGGGGAGAAAUAGGAAAGGAAAGCCCCUUUUCUUAGAAGAUACAAACUCGACUCCCUCCUGUAUCUAUCACCAGUGGAUUUAGCCUCCCUCCUUGUGUGGUGUAAAUAAAAUAAAGAGGAGACAAGUUGAUUUGGUACAAACAAAGGUAAGUGUAUUCAGGGUAAAGAUACAGAAAACUGGGAGAAAUAGGGGAAAAUGCAAACUUAAUUAAUACAACGAAACAGUGACUGGCUUUGGGAGCUUAAAGCUCAGGCCCAUGAACCCUCCCUUGGAAACUGGAAAACAAUAAAUGAUGUCCCAAAACAGAAACCUUUCCUACUGUUCAGGUGCAGUGGAUACCACGUACAGGUGUGAUGCCCAGGACCUUCCACUCUCUGGCUGAUUUAGAGCCUUCGAGGAGGAGCACUGGGGAGUCCAGACGACUGUUGGAUUUCGUCGCUGGCAAGGAGACCCUCUGGGAUGAUGGACACUAGGAAUGCAGGACCCUCCACUGGAGGACUCACCAGGCCCCACAUGUGUGUCUGCUUCAGAAACCACCUGUCCAUAAGUGCUAGCCCAGAACUGAGAGAAGGCUACUGCGUGAGGACAAAUUCAGGCACUGAUGGGUAAUGCCUAGAGAUUUUCCUCCUCCCUGCAGUCUCCACACCCCGGCUCCCUGCUCCCAAGCUGGAGAGGUCUGUUGGAGUCAACAGCAUGUGGAAAGUUCUGGAUCCUCCAAAGCAACCAGCGUGUUCCUUGGGAAGGGACAUUCCCCAAAUUGUUUGCUUCCCUUUACAAAACGCCAACAAGCCCCGCACCACCAGGUUUGCAUCUGUCCGUGAGCAGUGUUGAUCAAAGGCACAUGUUUGACUUGCACCAAAAUAACUCAAGUCCCCCAGGCAGCCGCUCCUGCUCUCCCCACCCCCAAUGGAGUUUGAGACGAAGUCUGUAAUCACAGUCCACAGCAUUUCGGAAACCACCUCCCCAUCUUGCUUCCUCCCAGCUGAUUUCCAGGGGAACAGAAGGAGACUGUUCGCUACCAGGGAGGAAGUCCAGGCCUAAGUGAGCAGCUUUCUAAGAGGCACCUACCAGAACAAGGCAUGUACUGCCGGGUAGUCCCUGCCAAGUGAGGUCGCUGUGCUGCAGAAGCAUGGAUGAAGAGACUCCGGAGGAGGAGGUUAGAAGAGGCAGCCAGGACAAGAGCUAAGAAGAGUUAGGAGUUAAGGGCAGUUCUUACAGUGGGCUGGAAAAAAAGGGUGUGUCUAUGGGGUGGGGGGUGUCUACUAUCACUCACACAUCAGCCCAUCUCCCCUACCCAGCAAUUAAUUCACCCCACAACCCCCAAAUCAAUUCUGCCCCCUGCCUCCAUCAUUCUGCCCUCACAUCAGUUCUUGCCCCUUCCUCCAGCCUCCCCUCUGUUCCUCCUGCAGCUAAGGAGACCUUCAUCCUCCUCUCCCCUUCCCAGGCUUAGUGUUGCAAGGAGGAAUGUGGGGUGGGAGGGCACAGAGCAGAGGAGGAGUGGGGAGAGAGGGGAGCAGCUGGGGCCUUUCUGCUCCCCCCCUCAACUCUUUUGAGAAUGGUGAGGGUUCCUGCGGGGCGGGGGAAGAGGUCUGCCUGCUGACCCUAGCUGCAGCCCUGAUCAGUGAUUGGCUGCUCUUCACCAGGAAGUGAGUAACAUGGGGAAAGCAUCCAAUCAGGUUUUUUUUCCCAGGUGGUACUAAAAACAUGCACCUCCUAAGUAAUCUUCCUCAUUAUUUAAAAAAAUAUUUCCCAGGUGGGUGUGUGUGUGUGUGUGCGCGUGCCCAUCUACACAGACCCAUUUGGGACCCGUCAGUGACUAUUAGCCAAGAUGGUCAGGGACACAUCCCCAUGCCCUGGGUGUCCCUAGGCCCUAACUGCCCGAUGCUGGGGCUGGAUGAUGGCAUGGAUCACUCACUAACUGGCCUGUUCUUUUCAUUCCCUCUAAAGCACCUGACAUUGGCCACUGUCGGAAGACAAGACACUGGGCUAGAUGGACCAUUGGGCUGACCCCUUAUGGCCAUUCUUAGGUUAUGUUCUUAUGGUCUGAAAAUUGUGGUAGGAGGGCUAUCAUAAUCUGGGAGCAGCAGCUUUUGUAAGAUUAGCGCUUAAAGAGCACCUCUCAGCAACCCGGCUCAACUGAAUUUUUUUUCCUGCAUCUGCCCCCUUGUCGUUCUCUCCCCCUCCCCCCCUCCCACACACACUUUAAUCGCUACUAGAAAUGUAGGUUUCAAUCCUGUCUUGGUUCCCAGAUUAGAAGGUGUUUGUUGGUUUCCCCCUUAUUCACCUCACAGUUUGACACAGUUCUUCAGUCUAACUGGGAGAAUCCCCAAAUAACAGCAGGUCCUUCACACUGGGUUCCCAGAUAAAGAGAUUAGUUGAUGUUUAGGCCAGAAGAGCCCAUUAUGAGCUAGUCUGACCAUCUGAAUAACAUAGGCCAGAACAGGUCACCCUGUGACUACUGCAUCCAGCCCAACAACUUCUGCUUGAGCUAGUGCAGAUCUUUUACAACAAGAUAACUAGUCUCUAUUUGCAGCCGCCCAGUAAAAGCGAAUACACCACAUCCCUGGGUGAGUUGUUUUAAUGGUUCAUUCCCUUCCCUGCUAUACAGAUGCCUCUUAUUUCCUGUUGGAAUUUUUCUGCCUAAGUCUGUGAAAGUAAAGAACUGUCUGCUAUCUGAAUUCUCCCCAUGUAGGUAUUUGCAGACCAUGAUCAAUUCACUGCUUAACCUUUUCCUUGUUAAACUAAAUAGAUUGAUCUCCUUUAGCUUCUCACUGUGAGGCAAGUUUGACCCUUUCCAAUUUUUCAACAUUCUUUGUAAAGCGUGGACAGCAAACUCGGACACUGUCCAGUUCUGGUUUCACCAAGAACAGUAUACAGAGGUAAUAUCACCUCCCCACUUCUGCUCAGUAUGCCCUGUGUAAUGAUUUUAUAUUUGCUUUCUGAUCAGUGAAAGCUACUGAAUAACAAUUAACCAAUUUUAAAUCCAUUAAAUAUGGGCUACAAAUAUAUCGAAUAAAACUAAUUUUUAAUCAGAAAGUUGUGUGGGACUACAUCUCAUACCUUACAGAAGUCUGUUAUGUCAACACAAUUACCUUUACCAAACAAACUGUAAUCUCCUCAGAAAUGAUAUCAAGUGGAUUGAGGUAAUUUGUCAAUGUUUCCAACCAGCAGCCUUGUGUAUUCUCCCACGCAACCUCUUAUACGUGGAAGUAGCUCUCUGUAAUAAUUCACAAGGCGACUACAUUAUUCUCCUUUUAAAUCUCCCCUUAAAACCCACUUAUGCUGUGGUGUUAUGUAAACACUUGGCAAUGGUCAGGCAGCUGCUGUGUUGUGAACACAUACCACUACUGAUCACCACAACUGGCUCACAGUUGCCUGGUGCUUCCCAUCUGUUUGUUAUAUCCACCUGCUGUCUCUUGUCUUAACCUUAGAUCAUAAACUCUGGGGCAGGACCUAACUUAUUGUUGUGUUUGUACAGCGCCUGGCACACUGGCACCUUGGCCUCUAGGUGGUCCUGUAACACCAGUAACACCAAGUGAGCUGUGUUGGGAGCCCAGGACUGGGAUAGCAAGCGGGCUGCUAGUUGGAACUGAG